rnacentral:rRNA from 1 species
GACGAACGCUGGCGGCGUGCUUAACACAUGCAAGUCGAACGGGCCUUGUCCCCUUUUUUUUGGGGGUGGGGUUAGUGGCGAACGGGUGAGUAACACGUGAGUAACCUGCCCCUCACUUCUGGAUAACCGCUUGAAAGGGUGGCUAAUACGGGGUGUUCUGGCCUGCUCGCAUGGGUGGGUUUGGAAAGAUUCGACCGGUUUUGGUUGUUUUGGUGGGGGUUGGGCUCGCGGCCUAUCAGCUUGUUGGUGGGGUGAUGGCCUGCCAAGGCUUUGACGGGUAGCCGGCCUGAGAGGGUGGGCGGUCACACUGGGACUGAGACACGGCCCAGACUCCUACGGGAGGCAGCAGUGGGGAAUAUUGCACAAUGGGCGCAAGCCUGAUGCAGCGACGCCGCGUGAGGGAUGGAGGCCUUCGGGUUGUGAACCUCUUUCGCCAGUGAAGAAGGUCCUGCUCUUUGUGGUGGGGUUGACGGUAGCUGGGUUAAUGAAGCGCCGGCUAACUACGUG